rnacentral:tRNA from 2 species
GGGGAAGUAGAGGUUGGCUAGCUCCCCUCCUUAGAAAGGAGGGGUUGGGGGUGGUUGACUGGUUGAACGAUGGUUAGAAUUAGCUCUAAUAUUGUUCUGACGUCAUUCAACCACCCCUAGCCCCUCCUUUCCA